GGCACAUUUCGAGUGGCUUGACAGUGUAGUGCCAUGAAAACAUCACAGUGCUGCAUGUAAAGACGAGUUUCGCAGGAUGUACGAACUGCAGUGCUGCCAGAACUGUCAAGAAACUUAUAAAGACUGCAUACUGGGCUACGUUGGGCAUGGGAGACGAGGGGAGCUUGUGGCAUUUUACAGCGAAAACGAGCACCCUGGAUUCUGCAGCCAGCUUCAUGAGUGGCUGGGUGUGUGAGUGGCUGGGUGUGUGAGUGGCUGGGUGUGUGAGUGGCAGGGUGUGUGAGUGGCAGGGUGUGUGAGUGGCAGGGUGUGUGAGUGGCAGGGUGUGUGAGUGGCUGGGUGUGUGAGUGGCUGGGUGUGUGAGUGGCUGGGUGUGUGAGUGGCUGGGUGUGUGAGUGGCUGGGUGUGUGAGUGGCAGGGUGUGUGAGUGGCUGGGUGUGUGAGUGGCUGGGUGUGUGAGUGGCUGGGUGUUGCAUUUUUAAAUAAAGACUUCUGUAUUUGUUUGACCAAAGCAUGUAACCAAACAUUUUAAUGGCUAGUGUGCCAAUAAAUGCCAAUAAAGAUAUUGUAUUAGCUUGGACAAAGUGUUUGUAAAUGGAGUUAAUUUCCCUGGGAACUACUGUCAGCCAUACAAAAUUGGGAGAGGAGAAGCAGGAAAGGGAUAUUAUUAUUAUUAUUAUUAUUAUUAUUAUUAUUAUUAUUAUUAUUAUUAUUAUUAUUGACAAAAUAGCUAUGUAUACAUACAUUUUUAAUUUCUGAAACCACAGCAUUUGAUAUAUUGUACUCUAUCGUUAUACACUAUCCAGCAUACCAUUAUUACCACCUGCUUGUUUCUGCUUCUAUUAUUCUUUUUUUAGCUCCAAUUAGCAUCUAGGACACUUUAGUUGCAUAAUGGUUUACUGGUGUAUAAUAUACAAUAGGUAUAAAACACUGUUCACUCUAUUAGACACUUCUACCAACAGCUGCUUUACAUUGUGAGUGAAAAGUCAGAGACAGAAUCUUUAAAUCUGUUGCUGCACAGUUUGUUGCUCAUCUGCAAAUUCUUCAUCAGUGCCCAUGGGAUGCUGCCUACU